rnacentral:rRNA from 1 species
GACGAACCGUGCAAACGUUGUUCGGAAUCACUGGGCUUAAAGGGCGCGUAGGCGGCUCGCCAAGUCGGGGGUGAAAUCUUUCGGCUCAACCGGAAAAGUGCCUUCGAUACUGGCGGGCUGGAGGGGGGUAGGGGCAUGUGGAACUUCCGGUGGAGCGGUGAAAUGCGUUGAUAUCGGAAGGAACGCCGGUGGCGAAAGCGACGUGCUGGACCUCUUCUGACGCUGAGGCGCGAAAGCUAGGGGAGCGAACGGG